rnacentral:rRNA from 1 species
AGUUCGAUCUGGCUCAGAUUGAACGCUGGCGGGAUGCUUUACACAUGCAAGUCGAACGGCAGCACGGACUUCGGUCUGGUGGCGAGUGGCGAACGGGUGGUAAUGUGUAUCCGGAACGUGCCUAGUAGCGGGGGAUAACUACGCGAAAGCGUAGCUAAUACCACGCGCUACGCCCUUCGGGGAAAGCGGGGACCUUCGGGCCUCGCACUAUUAGAGCAGCCGAUAUCGGAUUAGCUAGUUGGUGGGGUAACGGCUCACCAAGGCGACGAUCCGUAGCUGGUUUGAGAGGACGACCAGCCACACUGGGACAGACACGGCCAGACUCCUACGGAGGCAGCAGUGGGAAUUUUGGACAAUGGGGGAAACCUGAUCCAGCCAUCCCGCGUGUUGAUGAAGGCCUUCAGGUUGUAAAGCACUUUUGGCAGGAAAGAAACGGCACGGGAUAAUACCCCGUGCAACUGACCAAUACCUGCAGAAUAAGCACCGGCUAACUACGUGCCAGCAGCCGCGGUAAUACGUAGGGUGCAAGCGUUAAUCGGAAUUACUGGGCGUAAAGCUGCGCAGGCGGUUCGGAAAGAAAGAUGUGAAAUCCCAGAGCUUAACUUUGGAACUGCAUUUUUUAACUACCGAGCUAGAGUGUGUCAGAGGGAGGUGGAAUUCCGCGUGUAGCAGUGAAAUGCGUAGAUAUGCGGAGGAACACCGAUGGCGAAGGCAGCCUCCUGGGAUAAACACUGACGCUCAUGCACAAGCGUGGGGAGCAAACAGGAUUAGAUACCCUGGUAGUCCACGCCCUAAACGAUGUCAACUAACUGUUGGGGCCCUUCGGGCCUUAGUAGCGCAGCUAACGUGAAGUUGACCGCCUGGGGAGUACGGUCGCAAGAUUAAAACUCAAAGGAAUUGACGGGGACCCGCACAAGCGGUGGAUGAUGUGGAUUAAUUCGAUGCAACGCGAAAAACCUUACCUACCCUUGACAUGUCUGGAAUCCCGAAGAGAUUUGGGAGUGCUCGCAAAGAGAACCGGAACAGGUGCUGCAUGGCUGUCGUCAGCUCGUGUCGUGAGAUGUUGGGUUAAGUCCCGCAACGAGCGCAACCCUUGUCAUUAGUUGCUACGAAGGGCACUCGGCAGGACUGCCGGUGACAAACCGGAGGGGAAGGUGGGGAUGACGUCAAGUCCUCACUUGGCCCUUAUGGGUAGGGCUUCACACGUCAUACAAUGGUCGGGACAGAGGGUCGCCAACCCGCGAGGGGGAGCCAAUCCCAGAAACCCGAUCGUAGUCCGGAUCGCAGUCUGCAACUCGACUGCGUGAAGUCGGAAUCGCUAGUAAUCGCGGAUCAGCAUGUCGCGGUGAAUACGUUCCGGGUCUUGUACACACCGCCCGUCACCAUGGGAGUGGGUUUACCAGAAGUAGUUAGCCUAACCGUAAGGAGGGCGAUUACCACGGUAGGAUUCAUGACUGGGGGUGAAGUCGUAACAAGGUAA